rnacentral:lncRNA from 1 species
CCACCUUCUUUUUUCUAUCUUUCUCAUGUUCACUUGAUGUCUAGACCUAUAGGCUCGCGUGUUUAGCUUGUUGCUUAAAUGAGAUCCGAUCUCUUUUCUCUUUCUCUCCUCUCUUCCACAUUAACAUUUACUUUACUAUAAGGCUAAGUUUUAAUUAAUGGCAGUUCUAGUGAUAUUUAAUAAGCUGCUGUAAAAGUGUUUUUUAAUAAUAUAUAUUAAUAUUUUAAGAAGAGAGAAGAAUUGAUUUUCGUCAAGAUGGAACUAUUGGCAUGACUGCCACAUCUAGAUUCACAAAAACUGUAGGUGGGUCCACAUUGCUGCUUUUCUUCUCUGUAUUCUUUACUGCCAUAGAGGGUACAGAUUAAUCAAAUUAUAGCAUACGGGCCCGCAUAUUCUUAAAGUUGAACCAU